AACGAACGCUGGCGGCAUGCCUAACACAUGCAAGUCGAACGAGACCUUCGGGUCUAGUGGCGCACGGGUGCGUAACGCGUGGGAACCUGCCCUUAGGUUCGGAAUAACUCCCCGAAAGGGGUGCUAAUACCGGAUAAUGUCUUCGGACCAAAGAUUUAUCGCCUUUGGAUGGGCCCGCGUUGGAUUAGCUAGUUGGUAGGGUAAAAGCCUACCAAGGCGACGAUCCAUAGCUGGUCUGAGAGGAUGAUCAGCCACACUGGGACUGAGACACGGCCCAGACUCCUACGGGAGGCAGCAGUGGGGAAUAUUGGACAAUGGGCGAAAGCCUGAUCCAGCAAUGCCGCGUGAGUGAUGAAGGCCUUAGGGUUGUAAAGCUCUUUUACCCGGGAUGAUAAUGAUAGUACCGGGAGAAUAAGCCCCGGCUAACUCCGUG
rnacentral:rRNA from 1 species